AGUGAACGCUGGCGGCAGGCCUAACACAUGCAAGUCGAACGGACACACAGUGAGCGUGCGCCCCUGACGGUAGCGACUGACGGGUGAGUAACGCGUGGAUAACCUUCCUAUUAUACUGGGGGAACAACGGAGAACCACAGAUAAUACCGCAGAAUAUGUUCUACGGGAGAGAUCAAGGGAUAAUGGCGGUUUGCCCGUCACUUAUAGCUGGUGUCGGGCCGGAUUAGCUAGUGGGUAAGGUAACGGCCUACCAAGGCGACGAUGCGUAGCCGACCGGAGAGGGUGAUCAGCCACACUGGAACUGAGACACGGUCCAGACUCCUACGGGAGGCAGCAGUGGGGAAUAUUCGGCAAUGGGCGCAAGCCUGACCCAGCAACGCCGCGUGAGUGAUGAAGGUCUUCGGAUCGUAAAGCUCUGUUAUUGGGAAAGAAAAAAUGUGUAUUUAUCCACGGAUGUUCUGACGGUACCUAAUGAGAAAGCACCGGCUAACUACGUG
rnacentral:rRNA from 1 species